AGAUAUGGCCAUCCCAGUACAGGUAGAAGACAACAGCUUUGAUCAACACAACAGUGAUCAAUCAAAUGAUACAAUUGAUGGUGAUCAUAAAUGCACAGAGAUUCCAGGUGGACCUAUACAUGAUGAAAGUACAGUAUUAGUUGAAGAUCAUCAAGAAG